rnacentral:rRNA from 1 species
UAGGGAAUCUUCCGCAAUGGGCGAAAGCCUGACGGAGCAACGCCGCGUGAGUGAUGAAGGUCUUCGGAUCGUAAAACUCUGUUUUUAGGGAAGAACAAAUGUGUAAGUAACUAUGCACGUCUUGACGGUACCUAAUCAGAAAGCCACGGCUAACUACGUGCCAGCAGCCGCGGUAAUACGUAGGUGGCAAGCGUUAUCCGGAAUUAUUGGGCGUAAAGCGCGCGUAGGCGGUUUUUUAAGUCUGAUGUGAAAGCCCACGGCUCAACCGUGGAGGGUCAUUGGAAACUGGAAAACUUGAGUGCAGAAGAGGAAAGUGAAAUUCCAUGUGUAGCGGUGAAAUGCGCAGAGAUAUGGAGGAACACCAGUGGCGAAGGCGACUUUCUGGUCUGUAACUGACGCUGAUGUGCGAAAGCGUGGGGAUCAAACAG